rnacentral:rRNA from 1 species
UGGCGGCAGGCUUAACACAUGCAAGUCGAGCGGUAACAGAGAGUAGCUUGCUACUUUGCUGACGAGCGGCGGACGGGUGAGUAACGCGUAGAAAUCUGCCUGGUAGUGGGGGAUAGCCCAGAGAAAUUUGGAUUAAUACCGCAUACGCCCUACGGGGGAAAGCAGGGGACCUUCGGGCCUUGCGCUAUCAGAUGAGUCUGCGUCGGAUUAGCUUGUUGGUGAGGUAAUGGCUCACCAAGGCGACGAUCCGUAGCUGGUCUGAGAGGAUGAUCAGCCACACUGGGACUGAGACACGGCCCAGACUCCUACGGGAGGCAGCAGUGGGGAAUAUUGCACAAUGGGCGAAAGCCUGAUGCAGCCAUGCCGCGUGUGUGAAGAAGGCCUUAGGGUUGUAAAGCACUUUCAGCAGUGAGGAAAGGUUGUAGCUUAAUACGCUAUAGCUGUGACGUUAACUGCAGAAGAA